rnacentral:tRNA from 1 species
GAGGGUAUAGCUCAAGUGGUAGAGUGCAUGCUUAGCAUGCACGAGGUCCUGGGUUCAAUCCCCAGUACUCCUC